UACGGAGGGUGCAAGCGUUAUCCGGAUUCACUGGUUUAAAGGGUGCGUAGGUGGGUUGGUAAGUCAGUGGUGAAAUCUCCGGGCUUAACCUGGAAACUGCCAUUGAUACUAUCAAUCUUGAAUACCUUGGAGGUGAGCGGAAUAUGUCAUGUAGCGGUGAAAUGCUUAGAUAUGACAUAGAACACCAAUUGCGAAGGCAGCUCACUACACGGUCAUUGACACUGAGCACGAAAGCGUGGGAGUCAAACAGGA
rnacentral:rRNA from 1 species